CCCCAGGGCGCGCAGGCCGUGGGGUUCCUUGGAAAGCAAUAAGGGGACCCUGGUGUGACCCCCAUCUGGAUCCCGAAAGUCAUGUGGCAGGGGGUGCGCAUUGUCCGGCGACCUUGGGAAACGGUGCAUCUCUGGCAUUUUGCAAACGAGGCUUGUAGCAGAAACGUCCCGGGGGUAAGUUGCAAUUUGGAUCAGGUAAGGUCACCUGGGCAGCGCGAAUUACUGGGUCUUGCAGAGUUGUUGCAUUUUUGAGCUGAGCUUGAGGCCCGGGGGGUGGGGAUGCAGAUAAAAAGUCUCACCUGGGAAAAAGAAAAAGUAUAAAAUAAAUGAAUUUUCGCAGCUGUGGGCUCUGAUCCGUCUCCCCGAACGAAAGCGUGGAUUAGAGAAGCCCACGAGGUUGCGAUAUUAACCCGAUUUUGAGCCACAGAGACCGAACCAGACCCCAAGAAGGGGCAGGCAGACAAAAUGCAAUGCACUGAGGAGUGGACGCAGCGCCCUGCAGCCUGGGGCCGUGGACAGCAGAGAAUCCACUCACGAGGCUGAUGUCUGUCGCCAGAAAGGCUCCUGUCACACCCGAAGCCACCGCCACCGCCGCUGAUUCUUCCUCCAAUAAUUAUUCCGGGCCCAUCUCGGGGCCGCGUCUCUGGGUGGAAUGUGAUUCCGAGGCGAGACACGGGGCGCAUAGGAAUGGCCCGAGCCGGGCUCCGCGCGCUGCACCAGGACAACUUCUCGGAGCGAGCGCGCGGAAAGAAAUCGUAAGGGCAUUCAGAGACGGGGAUGCCCACGGCAGGGUGUCAGCAGCCUGUGGCUCUGCUCCGCAGCGGCCUUGGGACCCCUUGAGACACAGGGACAAAGACUGGCUUUGGCCUCCGCCCGUCU
rnacentral:lncRNA from 1 species